UACGUAGGGUGCGAGCGUUGUCCGGAAUUAUUGGGCGUAAAGAGCUCGUAGGCGGUGUGUCACGUCGGCCGUGAAAACCUGCAGCUUAACUGUGGGCGUGCGGUCGAUACGGGCAUCACUGGAGUUCGGCAGGGGAGACUGGAAUUCCUGGUGUAGCGGUGAAAUGCGUAGAUAUCAAGUGGAACACCAGUGGCGAAGGCGAGUCCCUGGACAAGACCUGACACUGAGGCACGAAAGCCAGGGGAGCAAACAGG
rnacentral:rRNA from 1 species